UCCCUGGAGGACUAGUGAUUAGGCCUCGACGCUCUCACCGCCACGGCUCAGGUUCGAUUCCCAGCCAGGGAA